AGAGUUUGAUCCUGGCUCAGGAAGAACGCUAGCGGUGUGCCUAAUACAUGCAAGUCGAACGGUUCUUUCUUUGAUGAAGCUUCGGCAGAUUCGUUGAAAGAAUAGUGGCGAACGGGUGAGUAAUGCAUGAGUAAUCUGCCCUAAAGACCGGGAUAAGCUUUCGAAAGGAAGUCUAAUACCGGAUAAUAAAAUCAGAUCGCAUGAUUUGAUUUUCAAAGGUAGCUUUUUAAGCCUCUGCUUUUGGAUGAGCUCAUGUCCUAUCAGCUAGUUGGUGAGGUAAAGGCUCACCAAAGCUAAGACGGGUAGCCGGUCUGAGAGGACGGUCGGCCACACUGGGACUGAGACACGGCCCAGACUCCUACGGGAGGCAGCAGUAGGGAAUCUUGCGCAAUGGGCGAAAGCCUGACGCAGCGACACCGCGUGGAGGAUGAAGGUUUUCGAAUCGUAAACUCCUGUCAAUAGAGGAAGAAGGUAUUAUAGGUGAAUAGCUUAUAAUAUUGACGGUACUUUGUAAGGAAGCCCCGGCUAACUACG
rnacentral:rRNA from 1 species